UACGGAGGGUGCAAGCGUUGUCCGGAAUCACUGGGCGUAAAGGGCGCGUAGGCGGCUUGGUAAGUAGGGGGUGAAAUCCUGCGGCUUAACCGCAGGGCUGCCUUCUAAACUGCCAGGCUCGAGCACAGUAGAGGCAGGUGGAAUUCCCGGUGUAGCGGUGGAAUGCGUAGAGAUCGGGAAGAACAUCGGUGGCGAAGGCGGCCUGCUGGGCUGUUGCUGACGCUGAGGCGCGACAGCGUGGGGAGCAAACAGG
rnacentral:rRNA from 1 species